GGAAGCUUGGGUGAGCGGUUUAAACCAGCAGUCUUGAAAACUGCCGAGGAUGUGAGUCCUCCGUGAGUUCGAAUCUCACAGCUUCCG
rnacentral:tRNA from 1 species